rnacentral:lncRNA from 1 species
CCCCUGUACCACAGCCACUCUUCAUCAAACUUUUCAAUGAAACAAAAUAACCUUAGCAAUAGAUUUAAUCAAACCAAAGCUUGAUAAUUACGUAGCAUAAGCAGGUCCUCCGUCAUAAAGAUACUCGAUGGCUCGCUUCCCCUGUACCACAGCCACUCUUCAUCAAACUUUUCAAUGAAACAAAAUAACCUUAGGAAUAGAUUUAAUCUAACCAAAGCUUGAUAAUUACGUAGCAUAAGCAGGUCCUCCGUCAUAAAGAUACCGAGAAAAUGCCUGUCUUAGAUUCUCUACAUGGCCAGCUUCAACCAUAGCACGAGCAACAUGCAACCUCCCCGGAG